GACAGAGGGUGCAAACGUUGUUCGGAAUUACUGGGCGUAAAGCGCGUGUAGGCGGCUUGUUAAGUCGGGUGUGAAAGCCCUCAGCUCAACUGAGGAAGGGCGCCCGAAACUGGCGAGCUUGAGUGUCGGAGAGGAUGGCGGAAUACCCCAAGUAGAGGUGAAAUUCGUAGAUAUGGGGUGGAACACCGGUGGCGAAGGCGGCCAUCUGGACGACAACUGACGCUGAGACGCGAAAGCGUGGGGAGCAAACAGG
rnacentral:rRNA from 1 species